rnacentral:rRNA from 1 species
UACGAAGGGGGCUAGCGUUGUUCGGAAUUACUGGGCGUAAAGCGCACGUAGGCGGAUCGAUCAGUCAGGGGUGAAAUCCCAGGGCUCAACCCUGGAACUGCCUUUGAUACUGUCGAUCUGGAGUAUGGAAGAGGUGAGUGGAAUUCCGAGUGUAGAGGUGAAAUUCGUAGAUAUUCGGAGGAACACCAGUGGCGAAGGCGGCUCACUGGUCCAUUCCUGACGCUGAGGUGCGAAAGCGUGGGGAGCAAACAGG